rnacentral:rRNA from 1 species
CACGUAGGGGGCGAGCGUUGUCCGGAUUUAUUGGGCGUAAAGAGCUCGUAGGUGGCUCGGUAAGUCGGGUGUGAAAUUUCGAGGCUCAACCUCGAGACGCCACCUGAUACUGCUGUGGCUAGAGUCCGGUAGGGGAGCGUGGAAUUCCUGGUGUAGCGGUGAAAUGCGUAGAUAUCAGGAGGAAUACCGAUGGCGAAGGCAGGUCUCUGGGCUGACACUGACGCUCAUGCACGAAAGCGUGGGGAGCAAACAGG